rnacentral:rRNA from 1 species
CCUACGGGAGGCAGCAGUGAGGAAUAUUGGUCAAUGGACGAGAGUCUGAACCAGCCAAGUAGCGUGAAGGAUGACUGCCCUAUGGGUUGUAAACUUCUUUUAUAAAGGAAUAAAACGAGGCACGUGUGCCUUUUUGCAUGUACUUUAUGAAUAAGGAUCGGCUAACUCCGUGCCAGCAGCCGCGGUAAUACGGAGGAUCCGAGCGUUAUCCGGAUUUAUUGGGUUUAAAGGGAGCGUAGAUGGGUUGUUAAGUCAGUUGUGAAAGUUUGCGGCUCAACCGUAAAAUUGCAAUUGAUACUGGCAGUCUUGAGUACAGUUGAGGUAGGCGGAAUUCGUGGUGUAGCCGUGAAAUGCUUAGAUAGCACGAAGAACCCAGAUUGCGAAGGCAGCUUACUAAACUGUGACUGACAUUGAUGCUCGAAAGUGUGGGUAUCAAACAGGAUUAGAUACCCGGGUAGUC